UGACAAUGAUUUUGGGUUUCUUUCCCAUGAUCACAUUAUCUUUAAAUAGGAUCUUUUCUAUAGUAAUAAUUUAUUAUUAUUUUUUAUUAAAAUUUAAUUUUUUAUAUAUUUAAAUAUUUAAAUGUUAUAAUUUUAAUAAAAAAUAUAUAUUAUAAGAUUACGUUUUACAUUUUUUAAUUUUAUAUUAAAAAAACAAAUCUUGCGGAGGGAGAAGUCCCGGCUCGCCUGUUGCCGUUCCUACUCGUGUCAAUUGUGCAAAUUAAAAAAAACCUUGAGGGCAUCAACGUAAUUAAGAAAGACUGAAAUCAGAAAAAAAGGGAGUCGAUGGAAAUUUGGUGGAUUCAGUUCGAAUAGAGUCGCGGGGGCUUCUGUUCUAUCCUCUCACAAUCAUCAUCUACUCUUUCUCUUUCUCAAAGAUUUCUACAAAUUGAAGCAUAACCCUAAAAUAUAAACCUAUAUUUGUUCGAAAGGCAAUUUUUCUUUUCAUAAGAAAAAAAGAUGCAAGGAGGAGAAGAAGUAAGCAUUGAGGAGCUCGCUUCCAAUCUCUCCACUUACAAAGAACAGCUUCAUAACGUUAGACAACUGUUGGCUGAUGAUCCUCAUAAUUCUGAGUAUGUGGACAUGGAGAAGGAGCUUAAUGAGGUGAUCCUUGCUUAUUAUCAUUUUUACUCUGCUUGUUCUUUCAUUUAUUCCUAAGUUCAAAAUUUUCUGUUGGAGUUUAUAUUGGUUAGUGACACUUUGAAUAGUUAUCUUCUGGAAAUGGUCAACUUCUCUUGUUGUGAGGGGCCACAAGACAGACUAUAGGUGUUCUUGUUUGGGUGUUGGGUAGAUGUUACUUUUUCAGCGUCUAGGUUUUUGAUGCAGUUAUCUUUCUUCUUUUCUCUCUUCCUCCGCUUUCUUGAAGGACUUCAACAUGUUGCUCAAACAAGCAACAUUAAUAAGCUGCUAAUGGCUUCCGUGGAGAUUUGUUUUCAUUUCAGGGUUGAAAAGGUGAGGGUGGUUUUCAUGCUAACUAAAGUUCAUGCACUCCUUGAAAUAGGAAAUGUAUGGAGAAUUAUUAAAAAAACAAAGAAAAAAGAAAAAUAUUGGAGCUGUUUGUAAAACUUAGAACUUCAUCAAGAUGCCAUCACUUCUAUCUUGGUUCAUUUGCAGGUGUGCUAUGUGUCGUGAUGGGCAGCCUGCCUCUCUUCCUCACCUGAUUUGAGAUGUUCACACUGAGAUUCUAAGUUUGAAUUUUCAUGAAGAUUGCCAUUUAUGAUGUUAAAGAUUGUGUUUUUAUAUUAUACUGGGCUAACUUUGUCAUGAUGCAGGUCAUUGCUCUGACAGAGGAACUCCUUGCAACUGCAAAGCAGAAUGAGAUUUCUGGAUCAGAUAUUCGGCCAGGAGCUGGUGCAUCCCCUAGUUUGCCCCAACAGGCGAAUAAAAAUGAUUCAAUGGGAAUCUCUGGUGAACAUGAGAAGUUUCCUGUUGGUGCGAAAGUUCAAGCUGUAUGGAGUGAAGAUGGGGAGUGGUUGAUGCCACGAUUGAGGCUCUUACUCCAAAUGGGUAUUAUGUUUCUUAUAAUGAAUGGGGGAAUAAGGAAGAGGUGGAUCCUGCCAAUGUAAGACCGGUUGAAUUCAAUGCUUUACUGGAAGCUGAAAAAGUGGCUGAAGCUACAAAGCAAGCUAUCAAACGGAAGAUAGCACAAGCUGCUUCUGUCGACUUCCAAUCACGGAGUUUGCCAGCAAAGCUUCGUAUAAAUGCUGAUGACCCAGAGGAUGUGAAAUCUGCCAAGCGUAAGAAGAUUCAUGCUUUCAAAUCAAAGAUGCGUUUUGAGCAACUUGAAGUUGCACAAAAUAAGCGGCAAAAUGCAUGGCAGCAGUUCCAGACCACUAAAGGCAGCACUAAAAAGGUAUGCACUUGCAAAAUUAAUUCAAGCUUUUUCUUCCUUCCUCUAUUUAGAAAUAAGGAUAGAAGGUUUUGGCCCUGUAGCUUUCCCUGUUCCCCCUUUGUCGGGUGGAAGCUUACAGAAUUAUUAUGAGACUUUGUAACUAGAAAUUGAUCGCACAGUUGGUUCUGCAUUAGUAGAUCCAGUUUAGUCCAAACACUACAAGUAUCCCAAGUGAAGUAGUAGCCUUAUUUUAUUUUAUUUUAAUUUCUACAGUACUAAUUAUGGCAUAAUUAGGAACGUACUUUUUCUGGAAGUAAAUGAUUGACAAUUACAAACUCUUCAUGCCUUGGCCUUCAUCAUCUCCUUCUAGAAUACUAAUUCCUGGAGCUGUGACAUUUUCAUCUAGAGAGCGGCAUAUGAAUUUAUAGCAAAAACAUUAGGAAAGUUGAUGCUAAAAGUUAUUUUUCGUUAUUAUUGUGUUCUGUACCCACGCUUUUUCCCCCCCCCCAAGGUCGGUUUCUUCUCA
rnacentral:misc_RNA from 1 species